CAGUACCGCGGUAAUACAGAGGGUGCGAGCGUUAAUCGGAUUUACUGGGCGUAAAGCGUGCGUAGGCGGCUUCUUAAGUCGGAUGUGAAAUCCCUGAGCUUAACUUAGGAAUUGCAUUCGAUACUGGGAAGCUAGAGUAUGGGAGAGGAUGGUAGAAUUCAAGGUGUAGCGGUGAAAUGCGUAGAGAUCUGGAGGAAUACCGAUGGCGAAGGCAGCCAUCUGGCCUAAUACUGACGCUGAGGUACGAAAGCAUGGGGAGCAAACAGGAUUAGAUACCCCUGUAGUCCCUGUCUCUUAUACA
rnacentral:rRNA from 1 species